CAAGAUGAGAUUUCCCAUAGCAUUAGCUAGUAAGAUCCCUGAAAGAUGAUCAGGUUGAUAGGUCAGAGGUGGAAGCGUGGUGACACGUGGAGCUGACUGAUACUAAUCGAUCGAGGACUUAACCUA
rnacentral:rRNA from 1 species